CUUACACAUGCAGUCGUACGAUGGAAGGCCGGUCUUGGCUGGGUGGAUUAGUGGCGAACGGGGUGAGUAACACGUGAGUAACCUGCCCUUAACUCUGGGAUAAGCCUGGGAAACUAGGUCUAAUACCGGAUAGGAGCGCCUACCGCAUGGUGGGUGUUGGAAAGAUUUAUCGGUUUUGGAUGGACUCGCGGCCUAUCAGCUUGUUGGUGAGGUAAUGGCUCACCAAGGCGACGACGGGUAGCCGGCCUGAGAGGGUGACCGGCCACACUGGGACUGAGACACGGCCCAGACUCCUACGGGAGGCAGCAGUGGGGAAUAUUGCACAAUGGGCGAAAGCCUGAUGCAGCGACGCCGCGUGAGGGAUGACGGCCUUCGGGUUGUAAACCUCUUUCAGUAGGGAAGAAGCGAAAGUGACGGUACCUGCAGAAGAAGCACCGGCUAACUACGUGCCAGCAGCCGCGGUAAUACGUAGGGUGCGAGCGUUAUCCGGAAUUAUUGGGCGUAAAGAGCUCGUAGGCGGUUUGUCGCGUCUGUCGUGAAAGUCCGGGGCUUAACCCCCUGAAUCAGUCAGCGUGGGGUACGGGGCAGACUAAGAAGUGCAGUAGGGGAGACUGGGAAUUCCUGGUGUAGCCGGUGGGAAUUGCGCAGAUAUCAGGGAGGAACACCCGAUGGCGAAAGGCAGGUCUCUGGGGCUGUAAACUGACGCUGAGGGAGCGAAAGCAUGGGGGGAGCCGAACAGCGAUUAGAUUACCCUUGGUAGUCCGAUGCCGGUAAACCGUUUGGGGCACUAGGUGUGGGGGGACCAUUUCCACCGGUUUCCCGCGCCGCAGGCUAAAGGCAUUAAGGUGUCCGCCCGGACCUGGGGGAGUCACGGCCCGCAAGGGCUAAAAACUCAAAGGAAAUUGGACGGGGGCCCGCACAAGCGGCGGAGCAUGCGGAUUAAUUCGAUGCAACGCGAAGAACCUUACCAAGGCUUGACAUGUUCUCGAUCGCCGUAGAGAUACGGUUUCCCCUUUGGGGCGGGUUCACAGGUGGUGCAUGGUUGUCGUCAGCUCGUGUCGUGAGAUGUUGGGUUAAGUCCCGCAACGAGCGCAACCCUCGUUCCAUGUUGCCAGCACGUAAUGGUGGGGACUCAUGGGAGACUGCCGGGGUCAACUCGGAGGAAGGUGAGGACGACGUCAAAUCAUCAUGCCCCUUAUGUCUUGGGCUUCACGCAUGCUACAAUGGCCGGUACAAUGGGUUGCGAUACUGUGAGGUGGAGCUAAUCCCAAAAAGCCGGUCUCAGUUCGGAUUGGGGUCUGCAACUCGACCCCAUGAAGUCGGAGUCGCUAGUAAUCGCAGAUCAGCAACGCUGCGGUGAAUACGUUCCCGGGCCUUGUACACACCGCCCGUCAAGUCACGAAAGUUGGUAACACCCGAAGCC
rnacentral:rRNA from 1 species